CAUGCACUGAUGGGGUCUCUUAGCCUGGCCUGUACCCUCUCGCAAUCCGGGACCCUUUGAGGAAUGUUGGAGAGCUGGUUUCAGCCUGAUCCCUGCAGGCCAGGCUAAGGGACCCCACCAGUGCACA
rnacentral:pre_miRNA from 1 species